rnacentral:rRNA from 1 species
CCUACGGGCGGCAGCAGUGGGGAAUAUUGGGCAAUGGGCGCAAGCCUGACCCAGCAACGCCGCGUGAAGGAAGAAGGCCCUCGGGUUGUAAACUUCUUUUAUCAAGGACGAAACAAAUGACGGUACUUGAUGAAUAAGCCACGGCUAACUACGUGCCAGCAGCCGCGGUAAUACGUAGGUGGCAAGCGUUAUCCGGAUUUACUGGGUGUAAAGGGCGUGUAGGCGGGACUGCAAGUCAGAUGUGAAAACCAUGGGCUCAACCCAUGGCCUGCAUUUGAAACUGUAGUUCUUGAGUGUUGGAGAGGCAGGCGGAAUUCCGUGUGUAGCGGUGAAAUGCGUAGAUAUACGGAGGAACACCAGUGGCGAAGGCGGCCUGCUGGACAAUAACUGACGCUGAGGCGCGAAAGCGUGGGGAGCAAACAGGAUUAGAUACCCCAG